rnacentral:tRNA from 1 species
GGCGGGAAAGGUAGCGUGCCACUGCGCGACCUGAACGCGAGAUUCAAAUCAGACGGCUAAGCAUGUAGAACUGCCCGGUGAUGGCUGACGGACGGGGGUUCAAUUCCCCCCGGCUCCACCA